rnacentral:rRNA from 1 species
GAUGAACGCUGGCGGCGUGCCUAAUACAUGCAAGUCGAGCGAACGGACGAGAAGCUUGCUUCUCUGAUGUUAGCGGCGGACGGGUGAGUAACACGUGGAUAACCUACCUAUAAGACUGGGAUAACUUCGGGAAACCGGAGCUAAUACCGGAUAAUAUUUUGAACCUCAUGGUUCAAAAGUGAAAGACGGUCUUGCUGUCACUUAUAGAUGGAUCCGCGCUGCAUUCGCUAGUUGGUAAGGUAACGGCUUACAAAGGCAACAAGGCAUAGCAGACCUGAGAGGGUGACCGCCCACCCUGGAACUGAGACACGGUCCAGACUCCUACGGGAGGCAGAGGAAGGGAAUCUUCGGCAAUGGGCGAAAGCUUGACGGAGCAACGCCGCGUGAGUGAUGAAGGUCUCCGGAUGGAAAACCCCUGUUAUAAGAGAAGAACAUAUGUGUAAGUAACAGUGCACAUCUUGACGGUACCUAAUCAGAAAGCCACGGCUAACUACGCG